rnacentral:rRNA from 1 species
UACGGAGGAUGCGAGCGUUAUCCGGAUUUAUUGGGUUUAAAGGGUGCGUAGGCGGAUCGUUAAGUCAGUGGUCAAAUUGAGGGGCUCAACCCCUUCCCGCCAUUGAAACUGGCGAUCUUGAGUGGAAGAGAAGUAUGCGGAAUGCGUGGUGUAGCGGUGAAAUGCAUAGAUAUCACGCAGAACCCCGAUUGCGAAGGCAGCAUGCCGGCUUCCUACUGACGCUGAAGCACAAAAGCGUGGGGAUCGAACAGG